rnacentral:rRNA from 1 species
GGUGCGCAGGCGGACUAGUAAGUCAGCGGUGAAAUGCCUCAGCUUAACUGAGGAACUGCCGUUGAUACUGCUAAUCUUGAGUUUAGACGGCGUGGGCGGAAUAUGUCAAGUAGCGGUGAAAUGCUUAGAUAUGACAUAGAACACCGAUAGGGUAGCCAGCUCACGAGGCUAAUACUGACGCUUAGGCACGAAAGCGUGGGGAUCAAACAGGAUUAGAUACCCUGGUAGUCCACGCAGUAAACGAUGAUCACUCGUUGUCGGCAAUAUACCGCCGGUGGCCAAGAGAAAUUGAUAAGUGAUCCACCUGGGGAGUACGUUCGCAAGUAUGAAACUCAAAGGAAUUGACGGGGGCCCGCACAAGCGGAGGAGCAUGUGGUUUAAUUCGAUGAUACGCGAGGAACCUUACCUAGACUUGAACGUAUUUGGAAUAAUUUGGAAACAGAUUAGCCAGCAAUGGCCAUUUACGAGGUGCUGCAUGGUUGUCGUCAGCUCGUGCCGUGAGGUGUUAGGUUAAGUCCUGCAACGAGCGCAACCCUUACUGUUAGUUACCAGCACGUUAUGGUGGGGACUCUAGCGGAACUGCCGGCGCAAGCCGUGAGGAAGGUGGGGAUGACGUCAAAUCAGCACGGCCCUUACGUCUAGGGCGACACACGUGCUACAAUGGGUGGUACAGAGGGCAGCUACUUCGCGAGAAGAUGCUAAUCUCAAAAACCAUUCUCAGUUCGGAUCGGAGUCUGCAACUCGACUCCGUGAAGUUGGAUUCGCUAGUAAUCGCACAUCAGCCAUGGUGCGGUGAAUACGUUCCCGGGCCUUGUACACACCGCCCGUCAAGCCAUGGAAGUUUGGGGUACCUGAAGUACGUGACCGAAAGGAGCGUCCUAGGGUAAAACAGAUAACUGGGGCU